GGGUUUCCGCCCUUCAGUGCCGCAGCUAACGCAUUAAGCACUCCGCCUGGGGAGUACGACCGCAAGGUUGAAACUCAAAGGAAUUGACGGGGGCCCGCACAAGCGGUGGAGCAUGUGGUUUAAUUCGAAGCUACGCGAAGAACCUUACCAGGUCUUGACAUCUUGCGCCAACCCUAGAGAUAGGGCGUUUCCUUCGGGAACGCAAUGACAGGUGGUGCAUGGUCGUCGUCAGCUCGUGUCGUGAGAUGUUGGGUUAAGUCCCGCAACGAGCGCAACCCUUGUUACUAGUUGCCAGCAUUCAGUUGGGCACUCUAGUGAGACUGCCGGUGACAAACCGGAGGAAGGUGGGGACGACGUCAGAUCAUCAUGCCCCUUAUGACCUGGGCUACACACGUGCUACAAUGGACGGUACAACGAGUCGCGAACUCGCGAGGGCAAGCUAAUCUCUUAAAACCGUUCUCAGUUCGGACUGCAGGCUGCAACUCGCCUGCACGAAGUCGGAAUCGCUAGUAAUCGCGGAUCAGCAUGCCGCGGUGAAUACGUUCCCGGGCCUUGUACACACCGCCCGUCACACCAUGAGAGUUUGCAACACCCAAAGUCGGUGGGGUAACCCUUC
rnacentral:rRNA from 1 species